rnacentral:lncRNA from 1 species
UGAUGUGUGAUAGGUCUUGACUCUACCAAAUCAAUUACUUGGCCUAUCGGGCUAUAAAGAUUUUAUGGAUAAGUCAUCUUUGGUACCACGAGAUCUACAACCAAUUAGCACCGGAUGAGGCUUAAAUAAAGUUUAUUCUCAAAUUUUAAGCACAUUGGUCCAAUAUGGUUGCAAGCUAAGAUCAAAACUCUAACCAAAGUAACUAUGAUUUUCAUUAGAUAGACACGAUUUGAUCAAUCGUGAAUGGACCAACAUGAUGUAGAAAA